GGUUAAGUGACUAAGCGUACACGGUGGAUGCCUUGGCAGUCAGAGGCGAUGAAAGACGUAGUAACUUGCGAUAAGCCCAGAUUAGGUAGUAACAACCAUUUGAGUCUGGGAUUUCUGAAUGGGGAAACCCACGUGCAUAAGCACGUAUCCUUACCUGAAUACAUAGGGUAAGGAGGCGAACCGGGGGAACUGAAACAUCUAAGUACCCCGAGGAAAAGAAAUCAACCGAGAUUCCGAAAGUAGCGGCGAGCGAAAUUGGACUAGCCCUUAAGCUUUACACGCGUUAGACGAACGGUCUGGAAAGUCCGACGAUACAGGGUGAUAGUCCCGUAGUUGACGACGUGUGUUCAGUGAAAUCGAGUAGGGCGGGACACGUGAUAUCCUGUCUGAAUAUGGGGGGACCAUCCUCCAAGGCUAAAUACUACUGACUGACCGAUAGUGAACCAGUACCGUGAGGGAAAGGCGAAAAGAACCCCUGUGAGGGGAGUGAAAUAGAACCUGAAACCGUGUACGUACAAGCAGUAGGAGCAGGCUUUGUCCUGUGACUGCGUACCUUUUGUAUAAUGGGUCAGCGACUUAUAUUCAGUGGCAAGGUUAACCAUCUAGGGGAGCCGUAGGGAAACCGAGUCUUAACUGGGCGUUCAGUCUCUGGAUAUAGACCCGAAACCAGGUGAUCUAGCCAUGGGCAGGUUGAAGGUUGAGUAACAUCAACUGGAGGACCGAACCGACUAAUGUUGAAAAAUUAGCGGAUGACUUGUGGCUAGGGGUGAAAGGCCAAUCAAACCUGGAGAUAGCUGGUUCUCCCCGAAAGCUAUUUAGGUAGCGCCUCGGACGAAUACUACUGGGGGUAGAGCACUGUUAAGGCUAGGGGGUCAUCCCGACUUACCAACCCUUUGCAAACUCCGAAUACCAGUAAGUACUAUCCGGGAGACACACGGCGGGUGCUAACGUCCGUCGUGGAGAGGGAAACAACCCAGACCGCCAGCUAAGGUCCCAAAUUACUACUAAGUGGGAAACGAUGUGGGAAGGCUCAGACAGCCAGGAUGUUGGCUUAGAAGCAGCCAUCAUUUAAAGAAAGCGUAAUAGCUCACUGGUCGAGUCGGCCUGCGCGGAAGAUGUAACGGGGCUAAGUAGUAAACCGAAGCUGCGGCAAUAUACUUUUGUAUAUUGGGUAGGGGAGCGUUCUGUAAGCGGUUGAAGGUGUGUGGUAACGCAUGCUGGACGUAUCAGAAGUGCGAAUGCUGACAUGAGUAACGAUAAAGGGGGUGAAAAACCUCCUCGCCGGAAGACCAAGGGUUCCUGUCCAACGUUAAUCGGGGCAGGGUAAGUCGACCCCUAAGGCGAGGCCGAAAGGCGUAGUCGAUGGGAAACGGGUUAAUAUUCCCGUACUUCUUACAAUUGCGAUGGGGGGACGGAGAAGGCUAGGUGGGCCUGGCGACGGUUGUCCAGGUUCAAGUGCGUAGGCUUAAGAGUUAGGUAAAUCCGGCUCUUUUUAAGGCUGAGACACGACGUCGAGCACCUACGGGUGUGAAGUCAUUGAUGCCAUGCUUCCAGGAAAAGCCUCUAAGCUUCAGAUUGUAAGGAAUCGUACCCCAAACCGACACAGGUGGUCGGGUAGAGAAUACCAAGGCGCUUGAGAGAACUCGGGUGAAGGAACUAGGCAAAAUGGUACCGUAACUUCGGGAGAAGGUACGCUCUCGACGGUGAAGUCCCUUGCGGAUGGAGCUAUUGAGAGUCGCAGAUACCAGGUGGCUGCAACUGUUUAUUAAAAACACAGCACUGUGCAAAAUCGUAAGAUGACGUAUACGGUGUGACGCCUGCCCGGUGCCGGAAGGUUAAUUGAUGGGGUUAGACUUCGGUCGAAGCUCUUGAUCGAAGCCCCGGUAAACGGCGGCCGUAACUAUAACGGUCCUAAGGUAGCGAAAUUCCUUGUCGGGUAAGUUCCGACCUGCACGAAUGGCGUAAUGAUGGCCACGCUGUCUCCACCCGAGACUCAGUGAAAUUGAAAUCGCUGUGAAGAUGCAGUGUACCCGCGGCUAGACGGAAAGACCCCGUGAACCUUUACUACAGCUUGGCACUGAACAUUGACCCUACAUGUGUAGGAUAGGUGGGAGGCUUUGAAGCACGUAUGCCAGUAUGUGUGGAGCCGUCCUUGAAAUACCACCCUUGUAGUGUUGAUGUUCUAACGUCGACCCCUAAUCGGGGUUGCGGACAGUGCCUGGUGGGUAGUUUGACUGGGGCGGUCUCCUCCCAAAGAGUAACGGAGGAGCACGAAGGUGGGCUAAUCACGGUUGGACAUCGUGAGGUUAGUGCAAUGGCAUAAGCCCGCUUGACUGCGAGAAUGACAAUUCGAGCAGGUGCGAAAGCAGGUCAUAGUGAUCCGGUGGUUCUGAAUGGAAGGGCCAUCGCUCAACGGAUAAAAGGUACUCCGGGGAUAACAGGCUGAUACCGCCCAAGAGUUCAUAUCGACGGCGGUGUUUGGCACCUCGAUGUCGGCUCAUCACAUCCUGGGGCUGAAGUCGGUCCCAAGGGUAUGGCUGUUCGCCAUUUAAAGUGGUACGCGAGCUGGGUUUAGAACGUCGUGAGACAGUUCGGUCCCUAUCUGCCGUGGGCGUUGGAAGAUUGAAGGGGGCUGCUCCUAGUACGAGAGGACCGGAGUGGACGAACCUCUGGUGUUCGGGUUGUGUCGCCAGACGCAUUGCCCGGUAGCUAAGUUCGGAAUCGAUAACCGCUGAAAGCAUCUAAGCGGGAAGCGAGCCCUGAGAUGAGUCUUCCCUGAUACUUUAAGUAUCCUAAAGGGUUGUCGGAGACUACGACGUUGAUAGGUCAGGUGUGUAAGUGCUGUGAGGCAUUGAGCUAACUGAUACUAAUUGCCCGUGAGGCUUAACCAU
rnacentral:rRNA from 1 species